GGCCCAAUGGUCUAGUAGCAUGAUUUUCCCUUCGGGCUUUUCCGCCAGUCACGUUACGUGAUGUCACGUGGGAGAGGUCCCGGGUUCAAUUCCCGGUUGGGCCC